GAUGAACGCUGGCGGCGUGCUUAACACAUGCAAGUCGAACGAGAAGUGAAGACGGAAACCUUCGGGCGGAAGGCUUUAUUUCGAGUGGCGGACGGGUGAGUAACGCGUGGGUAACCUGCCUCAUACAGGGGGAUAACAGUUGGAAACGACUGUUAAUACCGCAUAAGACCACAGCACCGCAUGGUGCGGGGGUAAAAACUCCGGUGGUAUGAGAUGGACCCGCGUUCGAUUAGCCAGUUGGCGGGGUAACGGCCCACCAAAGCGACGAUCGAUAGCCGAUCUGAGAGGAUGACCGGCCACAUUGGGACUGAGACACGGCCCAAACUCCUACGGGAGGCAGCAGUUGGGAAUAUUGCACAAUGGGGGAAACCCUGAUGCAGCGACGCCGCGUGAGUGAAGAAGUAUUUCGGUAUGUAAAGCUCUAUCAGCAGGGAAGAAAAUGACGGUACCUGAGUAAGAAGCCCCGGCUAACUACGUG
rnacentral:rRNA from 1 species